GAUGAACGCUGGCGGCGUGCCUAAUACAUGCAAGUCGAGCGAACAGAUGAGGAGCUUGCUCCUCUGACGUUAGCGGCGGACGGGUGAGUAACACGUGGAUAACCUACUUAUAAGACUGGGAUAACUUCGGGAAACCGGAGCUAAUACCGGAUAAUAUAUUGAACCGCAUGGUUCAAUAGUGAAAGACGGUUUUGCUGUCACUUAUAGAUGGAUCCGCGCCGCAUUAGCUAGUUGGUAAGGUAACGGCUUACCAAGGCAACGAUGCGUAGCCGACCUGAGAGGGUGAUCGGCCACACUGGAACUGAGACACGGUCCAGACUCCUACGGGAGGCAGCAGUAGGGAAUCUUCCGCAAUGGGCGAAAGCUUGACGGAGCAACGCCGCGUGAGUGAUGAAGGUCUUCGGAUCGUAAAACUCUGUUAUUAGGGAAGAACAAAUGUGUAAGUAACUAUGCACGUCUUGACGGUACCUAAUCAGAAAGCCACGGCUAACUACGUG
rnacentral:rRNA from 1 species